UCUUCCGUAGUAUAGUGGGUAGUAUAUGAGCUUGUCAAUAUAUCCGCCCAUAGGGUUGGAGCAUUUAAAUAUUCGCUCGGGACCCGGGUUCAAUUCCCGGCGGGAGAG